rnacentral:rRNA from 1 species
CUACGGGUUGCUCCAGUGAGGAAUAUUGGUCAAUGGGCGCGAGCCUGAACCAGCCAUCCCGCGUGCAGGAUGACGGCCCUAUGGGUUGUAAACUGCUUUUCUAUGCCAAGAAACCCUGUUACGAGUAACAGGUUGCCGGUAGCAUAGGAAUAAGCAUCGGCUAACUCCGUGCCAGCAGCCGCGGUAAUACGGAGGAUGCAAGCGUUAUCCGGAUUCAUUGGGUUUAAAGGGUGCGCAGGUGGGCUGGUAAGUCAGUGGUGAAAUGCUGCCGCUUAACGGUAGAACUGCCAUUGAUACUGCGAGUCUUGAGUAUGGUUGAGGUAGGCGGAAUGUGUUGUGUAGCGGUGAAAUGCAUAGAUAUGACACAGAACGCCAAUUGCGAAGGCAGCUUACUAAGCCAUUACUGACGCUGAGGCACGAAAGCGUGGGGAGCGAACAGGAUUAGAUACCCCAGUAGUC